rnacentral:rRNA from 1 species
AACGAACGCUGGCGGCAUGCCUAACACAUGCAAGUCGAACGAGACCUUCGGGUCUAGUGGCGCACGGGUGCGUAACGCGUGGGAAUCUGCCCUUGGGUUCGGGAUAACAGUUGGAAACGACUGCUAAUACCGGAUGAUGUCUUCGGACCAAAGAUUUAUCGCCCAGGGAUGAGCCCGCGUCGGAUUAGCUAGUUGGUGAGGUAAAGGCUCACCAAGGCGACGAUCCGUAGCUGGUCUGAGAGGAUGAUCAGCCACACUGGGACUGAGACACGGCCCAGACUCCUACGGGAGGCAGCAGUGGGGAAUAUUGGACAAUGGGCGAAAGCCUGAUCCAGCAAUGCCGCGUGAGUGAUGAAGGCCUUAGGGUUGUAAAGCUCUUUUACCCGGGAUGAUAAUGACAGUACCGGGAGAAUAAGCCCCGGCUAACUCCGUGCCAGCAGCCGCAGUAA